GUCCCAGCCGCCGCGGUAACACCAGCCCCUCGAGUGGUGGGGAUGAUUAUUUGGCCUAAAGCGUCCGUAGCCGGCCGGGUUAGUCUCCCGUUAAAUCCAGCGUCUCAAGCGUUGGACUGCGGGAGAUACUGCACGGCUAGAGAGUGGGAGAGGUCGACGGUAUUCUGGGGGUAGGGGCGAAAUCCUUUGAUCCCUGGAGGACCACCAGUGGCGAAGGCUGUUGACUAGAACACGUCUGACGGUCAGGGACGAAAGCUGGGGUAGCGAACCGGAUUAGAUACCCGGGUAGUCCCAGCCGUAAACGAUGCACGCUAGGUGUUGGGUCGGCCAUGAGCCGCCCCAGUGCCGCAGGGAAGCCAUUAAGCGUGCCGCCUGGGGAGUACGGCCGCAAGGCUGAAACUUAAAGGAAUUGGCGGGGGAGCACCACCAGGCGUGAGCCUGCGGUUUAAUUGGAGUCAACGCCGGGAACCUUACCGGGAGCGACAGCAGAGUGAAGGCCAGGCUGAAGACCUUGCUAGACAAGCUGAGAGGAGGUGCAUGGCCGUCGCCAGUUCGUGCCGUGAGGUGUCCUCUUAAGUGAGGUAACGAACGAGACCCGUGCCCCAUGUUGCCAUCAAAUCCUAAAGGGAUGUUGAGCACUCUUGGGGGACCGCAGCCGAUAAGGCUGAGGAAGGUGCGGGCAACGGCAGGUCAGUAUGCCCCGAAUCUCCCGGGCCACACGCGGGCUGCAAUGGUAGGGACAGAGGGCUGCAACCCCGAGAGGGGAAGCCAAUCCCUAAACCCUACCUCAGUUGGGAUCGAGGGCUGCAACCCGCCCUCGUGAACAUGGAAUGCCUAGUAACCGCGCGUCAUCAUCGCGCGGUGAAUACGUCCCUGCCCCUUGCACACACUGCCCGUCGAACCACCCGAAUGAGGUUUGGAUGAGGCAUGGUCGAAUGUUGGCCGUGUCGAAUCUGGGCCUCGUAAGGAGGGUUAAGUCGUAACAAGGUAACC
rnacentral:rRNA from 1 species